CACAAAUUUCGCUCCAAGUAACACGCGCGCGCGCGCGCGCGCGCACGCGCACACACACAUCUUUAUCUCUCGCUACAUCUCUGUACAUCCCUCCCUACAUUACACGGCACAGAUCAGCUCUGUGCGUGUGUGUGUGCGUGCGUGCGUGUGUGUGUGCGUGCGUGCGUGCGUGCGUGUGUGUAUGUGUGUGUAGGAGGGGGGGGGGGGUGCGCAUGUGGGUGCUGCCGUCAUCAAGUGGCCUGGAGUGCCUCCGAUCGCAAACGCCAUUAACCUGCUAAAAGUGGAGAGCUAUAAGGAACUUUUAUUAAUCCACAUGAUGUAUUUGGCUGGUCAAACUAUCUAAUCUAAUUCUCCAUGAUCCAUUUUGAAAUCCAAUACGCAUCUCGAUGCCGUCCAUCCUCCACUGAAAGCUCCUAGACUAUUUCGAGUGCGAGUCAAGCUUCCCCAAAUUUAUAAGCAGAAACGGAGUGGGUGGCCGAGGGAGACGAGGGAGUGAAUUAAUACUGUGAGUUAAAUUAAACCCCGUGCCACGAUUCACAACGCUGACUUUGUGCGACACAUUCCUCUCGACAGUCUCGACGGCCUGCUUCUUGAUGUUUGCUAUUAUUUCUCACUCUACUUGUAGAAUCAAUCUUAAACAAAAUUCUGAAAUAAUUGUAACAAAAAUUGUUAAUUUUUUAAUUUUUUUUUUAUUUUUAUUAUAAAUGGAAAGCUUUAGUACAAAAUAAUGUACAGAAUAAUAUUUUUUUGGUGCUCUAUUUUCUAUAACGGCAAAUUUAUUAAUUUUGUCAAAAAAUUAUAAGUUUUUCUAAUUUUUGCAAAAAUGACAUGAUAAUUAAAAAAUUUUUCUAUAUAACGUGAAUAUCCAUAAUCAAUUAAUACUUAUGCUAUUAUUUUUAAUAUAUAUGUGUCAUGACACACUCUUUUUCUUAAAAAAUGUAAAUAUUUAUAUGUAAGUAAUUUCAGAUGCUUUGGAAAACGUUAAGAAAACCGUGAAUCUCUUACAUUAAUGUCAAUUUGAUAUAGCUGAACUGGUUGUAAACAAAAACAUGAGAGUACAGUUUUGGGAUUUAUCCAAAUUUAUUGUUGUUUUGGGUACACACUAUUAUCGGAUAAUAGUAAAAUUUAAGCAUAUGUAGAUUGUUAAUAAAAUAAUUACAAACUUAAGAAAUUGUGUAAUACAUUAUGUGUGUAUAGUAAAUGUGUGUGUGUGUGUGUAUGUGUGUAGCAAA